rnacentral:ncRNA from 2 species
UUCUUAUCAAGAGCGACCGAGGGACUAGCCCGGUGACGUCGCGGCAACCUGCCCCAAGGGCAAGGUGCCAAUUCUAGCGGAAUCGUAUGAUUCCGGGAGAUAAGGA